UGCCCUAGUAACGGCGAGUGAAGCGGCAACAGCUCAAAUUUGAAAUCUGGCCUCGGCCCGAGUUGUAAUUUGCAGAGGAUGCUUCUGGCGCGGUGCCUUCCGAGUUCCCUGGAACGGGACGCCACAGAGGGUGAGAGCCCCGUAUGGUCGGACACCAAGCCUGUGUGAAGCUCCUUCGACGAGUCGAGUAGUUUGGGAAUGCUGCUCUAAAUGGGAGGUAAAUCUCUUCUAAAGCUAAAUACCGGCCAGAGACCGAUAGCGCACAAGUAGAGUGAUCGAAAGAUGAAAAGCACCUUGAAAAGGGGGUUAAAUAGUACGUGAAAUUGUUGAAAGGGAAGCACUUAUGACCAGACUUGGGCCGGGCGGCUCAUCAGGGGUUCUCCCCUGUGCACUCCGCCCGGCACAGGCCAGCAUCGGUUCUCGUGGGGGGAUAAGACCGUCAGGAACGUAGCACCCUCCGGGGUGUGUUAUAGCCUGGCGGACGAUACCCCCGUGGGGACCGAGGUCCGCGCUCCGCAAGGAUGCUGGCGUAAUGGUCAUCAGUGACCCGUCUUGAAACACGGACCAAGGAGUCGUCCAUUAGAGCGAGCGUUUGGGUGUAAAACCCGCACGCGUAAUGAAAGUGAACGCAGGUGAGAGCUUCGGCGCAUCAUCGACCGAUCCUGAUGUUCUCGGAAGGAUUUGAGUAAGAGUUUUAACGGACGGACCCGAAAGACAGUGAACUAUGCUUGUAUAGGGUGAAGCCAGAGGAAACUCUGGUGGAGGCUCGCAGCGGUUCUGACGUGCAAAUCGAUCGUCAAAUAUGAGCAUG
rnacentral:rRNA from 1 species